rnacentral:lncRNA from 1 species
GGCAGCUCCACCCAAUGUAGCGGCGUUGAAGGAGGCGGAGGAAGCUCAUAAGUUUUACGUCGCGGGAUGCAAGAGCAUGGACGAAGGCAAAAGAGAAGAGGCCAUUAACUCUUUCUGUCAGUACGUGGACUCGGUGACUCAACACCUGGUCCCGCCUUUACGAGAACUCCAUCUGGCGGUGCAGUCACUCCGACUCCUGGUGGCGGCGAGAGGAACUAUUCACACUGUUAGUCCUGUAAAUAAAUAACUGGAAUUCUGCCAAUAUUAUCAUGGUUAGCAAUCAACAGCUGCUCAGCAGGUGUGUCAUUUUGCAUUUCCAUUAAUAUUUUAUAAUAUGUAAUGUUCUGUCGAUAUCUUGAUGAUAGGUGAUAUAUAUGUUCCUGUUUACCUGUAGUGAUCUAUACCUGUGAGAGAAAUGUUUAACUAAUUUUGAUCAUUAUACUGAUUACGUUGACCAUUUCGUAAAAUAAAACUUAAAACGGUG